rnacentral:rRNA from 1 species
UACGUAGGGGGCAAGCGUUGUCCGGAUUUAUUGGGCGUAAAGAGCGUGUAGGCGGCCAGGUAGGUGGGUUGUGAAAACUGGAGGCUCAACCUUCAGACGUCGACCCAAACCCCCUGGCUAGAGUCCGGAAGAGGAGAGUGGAAUUCCUGGUGUAGCGGCGAAAUGCGCAGAUAUCAGGAAGAACACCCGUGGCGAAGGCGGCUCUCUGGGACGGUACUGACGCUGAGACGCGAAAGCGUGGGGAGCGAACAGG